UUCGCAAUGCCCGAAAGGGUGACGAAGCGACGCCGCGUGGGUGAGGAAGGCCCUCGGGUUGUAAAACCCUGUCAGGAGUUAUGAAAUGUAAGUGCGCUAAUAUCGUGCUUAUUUGACAAAGGCUCCAAAGGAAGCCACGGCUAACUCUGUGCCAGCAGCCGCGGUAAUACAGAGGUGGCGAGCGUUGUUCGGAAUUAUUGGGCGUAAAGAGCACGUAGGUGGGUUUGCAAGUCAGAUGUGAAAGCCUUCUGUUCAACGGAAGAAUUGCAUCUGAAACUGCUAAUCUUGAGUAUAGGAGGGGAGAAUGGAACUUCUGGUGGAGCGGUGAAAUGCGUAGAUAUCAGAAGGAACGCCGGCGGCGAAAGCGAUUCUCUGGCCUAUUACUGACACUCAGUGUGCGAAAGCUAGGGGAGCAAACGGGAUUAGAUACCCCGGUAGUCCUAGCCGUAAACGAUGGGCACUAAGUAGAGGGGUUUU
rnacentral:rRNA from 2 species